rnacentral:rRNA from 1 species
AACGAACGCUGGCGGCAGGCUUAACACAUGCAAGUCGAGCGCCCCGCAAGGGGAGCGGCAGCCGGGUGAGUAACGCGUGGGAACGUACCUUUUGGUUCGGAACAACUCCGGGAAACUGGAGCUAAUACCGGAUAAGCCCUAACGGGGAAAGAUUUAUCGCCGAAAGAUCGGCCCGCGUCUGAUUAGCUAGUUGGUGAGGUAACGGCUCACCAAGGCGACGAUCAGUAGCUGGUCUGAGAGGAUGAUCAGCCACACUGGGACUGAGACACGGCCCAGACUCCUACGGGAGGCAGCAGUGGGGAAUAUUGGACAAUGGGCGCAGGCCUGAUCCAGCCAUGCCGCGUGAGUGAUGAAGGCCUUAGGGUUGUAAAGCUCUUUUGUCCGGGAAGAUAAUGACUGUACCGGAAGAAUAAGCCCCGGCUAACUUCGUG